rnacentral:rRNA from 1 species
GUCCAUGCCGUAAACGUUGGGCACUAGGUGUGGGGACCUUUGGUUUCUGCGCCGUAGCUAACGCAUUAAGUGCCCCGCCUGGGGAGUACGGCCGCAAGGCUAAAACUCAAAGGAAUUGACGGGGCCCGCACAAGCGGCGGAGCAUGCGGAUUAAUUCGAUGCAACGCGAAGAACCUUACCAAGGCUUGACAUACACUGGAAGACUGCAGAGAUGUGGUUGCCUUUUGGGCUGGUGUACAGGUGGUGCAUGGUUGUCGU